CAUACCGUAAACGAUGAUUACUAGGUGUGGGGAGAUUGACCCUCUCCGUGCCGCAGUUAACACAAUAAGUAAUCCACCUGGGGAGUACGACCGCAAGGUUGAAACUCAAAGGAAUUGACGGGGGCCCGCACAAGCAGUGGAGUAUGUGGUUUAAUUCGAAGCAACGCGAAGAACCUUACCAGGUCUUGACAUCCAAUGACGCAUGCAGAGAUGCAUGUUUCCUUCGGGACAUUGAGACAGGUGG
rnacentral:rRNA from 1 species